rnacentral:lncRNA from 1 species
GGCUUUCUCCUGAGCCGUCGGAGGGAGCCGGAGCGCUCCUCUUGAGUUGGUGAUCGACCAUUUGUGGUCCAGCAUGCACAAGUGAGUGGUGAAAGGCUGCAGAGCUGAUGGGUCGUGAGGAUGUAAGUGCGUUUGAAGGCUCUCACACUCUCUACUCCAGGGUAAGUUACAGGCCUUCUCUGCCAUUGUUGCUCUGGUUUUACUCUUAUCUUAAUGGUCUUUUGGAGUCCAUGCAAUUUGUGUGCCCUGUCUGAAAGUUCCCAAAGCCUUUAAUGAUUCAGCUCAUAGAUGCUAUUCAGAUUAGUACUUACAAAGAUAAAACCGUGGUCAGGGUAAUGGGAAGGAAUCAGUAUGUGGAAAUAUCUCAACACAAUAAUUUCACUUAGUGACUUUGUAUGAGAUGUGAUUUACAUGGGGGCUGUGGGGAGGAUGUUGGACCUUCCUGAGAUACACUGCAGAGCAUCCUCUCUCUCAGCACCCUCCCCCUCCAUGGAUCACUUUGCAUAACUUUUCCUGCAUUAAUUACCUUUUUUUCAGGUGUUGGGGGGGGGAACAGCUUGCCAGAGAGUUGAUGAUUCCCAGUUUCACAGAUGAUAUAGCUAAGUACUAGCAAAGUUUUGCCCAGUGUCACUGGGAGUCACUUGUACCCGCUCCCCCACCUCUCUGCAGUCCCUAGUGCAAUGGUGGUGGGCACUGGGAGUAUUUUAAUGAAAGCUGGCUUUAUUUAUUUAUUUUUAUUUUAAAAAGUUUUUUUAGGGCCGUUCCUGAGGCAUAUGGAAGUUCCCAGGCUAGGAAUGAAUCUGAGCUGCAGCUGCCAGCCUGUACCACAGCCACAGCAACGCUAUAUCCAAGCCGUGGCGGUGUCUUACACCACAGCUCUUGGCAAGACUGGAAGGCUGGACCCUUAACCCACUGAGCAGGGUCAAGUAUUAAACCCAUAUCCUCAUAGGUAAUAGUCGGGUUUGUUAUUGCUAAGUCACAAUGGGAACUCCACCAAAGUUGGCUUUAGAUUUUAAUUUCUUCUAGAGCUUAAACUAAAACCAGAUUCAUUGAAGAGAAAAUUAUAAUUAAUAAAAAUCUAAGCAGAGCUAAGGAUGGUUAGAAAAGAGGGAAAAAGGAAGUUAUUUUUUAAAAAAGUACUCACCUGAAAAACUGGAUAGAUGGUUGUUUUAAGCAUUUCAGUUCAAUAGUGUGGAGCCCUUGCUAGAUAAUGUCCCAUUACCCAGGCUCAGACAGAGGGCACCCAGAAAGGCUGAUGUUCUUCAAUGCCUCAUAUGGAUCAGUAAGGAGCGAGUACAAUUUACUAAAUGAAAUAGACAAUUAAGGGCUAUAAAUCUCUGGAGAUUCCCGUAAGCAUACAUUGUUACUGCAUUGGGGGGAUGCACGUGCUUAGAGAUAAGCAAAGCAGAGGCAGUAGCUGCAAGGCUUGUCACAAAAUGAAGAGUCCAGGGGAACAGCCAGAUGCAGACCCCUGCCUAGUGCCUGGGGGUCACUAAGGAAAGGAUUUGGUCUUUGCUAAGCUUUCUCCUUAAAGGAAGGGAGCUAGAUGUUGCCAGCUUUCCUCAUUUUCUUCUGUGGCUCCCAUUUAUUUUCUAUUCUAAAAGUAACUAAAAAGUAUAACAUGCCAGAAAUAGCACUCAACUGGCAUGUUUCUGUUUAAAUACCAUUCAAUGAUCAAAUUAUAGAGGAACCCAUUCUUUAACUAGUGAUUAGAGGGCAAAGAAAGUAAUGCUAGAGAUGCCAGAGGAUCAGGGAUCCUUAUCCUCAGCACCAUUAACAUGCCAAGCCUGGUGAUUCUUUAUUGUGGGCUGUUCACACAUUGUAGCACAUCUUUGGCCUCUACCAGCUAGAUACUCCCCUUCCCCCACCCCAGAAUCGUGAUAAUCAAAAUGUCUCCAGAUACUGCCACUUGUUCCCUGGCCGGUGGGGGGCGGAAUUCUGGUUGAGAAGCACUGCUGGUGGCAUACAGUGAUUUAAUCUUGCUCUGAAUUUCUCUGGGACUGUUUCAAUCAUUAGCCUCCUUUUGCUACAAUUUCUCUACCUGUAAAAUAGACACAGCAUUUGUAACUCAGUAGCCUAAGGAGGUACAUAGUAUUGUGUGACUAUUUGGGAGCUCAUAAUGCCAAUACCUAUAUCCUAGUCUUGUGAAGACAGAGGCUGAGGAGCAGGGGAGUUGGAAGGGUGUGAGAAAUGCGGAAUGGUGUUGGAUUCUGAUUUUACUAGAAGGCUUCCAAUUCUAGUUCAUUUCAACAAUAUACUCUUGAACGAAGGCUUGUGGGGGAGGAUUAAGAAAGGGGACAAUAAAGGAGGGAAAAAGAGGCUAUUUAGAAGAGCAGUCAAGGAGAUUGCUUUUGAUCUGGAGGUGGGGGGUGAUCUCUUAUCGUUAAAGUGAUUUAUGUGUAAUUAGACCAAAGGACAUAAAGAAGUAACCCCCUUGCUCCAAAGAAAAAUAUUCUCCCGAAUGACUACUGAUCCUAGAACAGAUUUUUCAGGUAAUACAACAAAGACUGGAGAGUGUUGGAGAAAUCUGUUUUUAUUCUAGAACAUUUACAUUUCUGCUGCUUCUCUUCUUUGGCUUAUCAAAAAAGGUCAUCUUCAAUCCAUGCCCUUUGAUACAUACAAUGUUUGAGUAUGACACAUGCUCUUCUGAUACUCUUCUAGAACUCUGUAUUGGAAUGCUGAAAAAGGCCUAUCACCCUGACCCAGGCCUGAGGUGAUCACACUAUUUUACUAAGGCAGGGCAAGUGCAGGGAUUAGAUGUAAAUUGUCUUGGUAGGUUUGAAUUCAGCCUUGCUGUGUUUCUGGUCCCUGUAAUUAUUAGACAUACUCACAAAAUUUACAACAAUGCUACCUUGUUGACGCAGACUCAGUGGGUCCAACAUCAGAGGAAAUUCUGUUGGACAGCACUGCUUUAGUCUGUCAGGACCCUGUUUGUUAGAAACCCACCCUUGGAGUGCCAGCAUGUGUUUGUUAUGAAAAGACCUCACCUCAUUUAAAGCAGGAUUGUGUUUUGGACUUCUCCAUCCUAGGGGGCUUUUCAGUCUGUGAGUGGAUCUUGCUGAACUUUUUACCUUGCUGCGGCAUCUGUCUGUUAAAGAAAUUGCCAUGGGCCUGUGUUUCUGACAUAACUGAGUUCACUGUCUCUAAAAUAUUUGCUCUUUAAUCCAAGGCUGCUGAACCGUCUCUUUCCAUUUGGUCUCUCCAUGCCCUAACCCUCAGUGGCAAAGCUUGUUUGUGCAGGAUGUCUCUUUUGAUACUGCCUAGAGCUUCAGCGUCUGGGAGAGGUGGUGAGAGAGUUUUCACCUCCUCUUCUUUCAAGCCCC